rnacentral:lncRNA from 1 species
CUUCUCUCUAGUUGGGGUGCCUGUGAAACCGGCAGGCUCUCUCCAAAUGCCUGGAUUCUGCUGGGGGAGUAAGAAGUCAGGAGUAGUUUGUCUGAUGGUAUUGGGAUCUGCUUUGCAAUUGCCAAGCGCUAAGGCACAAGCUGGCAGAUGUGCUGCGGCUCUGCUACGGGCGGCUCUGUCGCCUUCAGUCGCAGGCUGGUUCUUUGGGGGAAAGUUGUAUCCAAUAUUGGUGACUCCCGGGAAUAGUCUGUUUGUGUGCUACUUAAUGGUCUCUAGGCUUCCUUGUCUUGUAGAACCUUGUUAGAAAGGAGCCUUGGUGAUUAAGAGGCUAUGGAGUACACAGCCUUGCUUAGCAGAUGAGCCCUUAUCCAUUUCCCGUUUCCUUAAAAACGGCUAAUUGAUGGAUGCUGCAGAAAACAUGCACUCUGCUAAUAAGAUGCUGAUGACAAAAUAGGUAUCAGGAAAGGCAUUUACUGCUUAUGAGCACCAUCAGCUUUCUUUCGAGUGAGAUUGUGGCUUUGUAGUAAAGUUUUUUUUUAAGUAAUAUGCUAAUAGUUUUAUUCUAAAUCGGCCAGCGCUGAAUAUCUUCAGGAAAAUGGGUUCCAUGAGAAGUGACAUCCUCCUCGAAUCAAAAGACUUGAGGUUAACAUGGGCAUAAUGUUCUGGAUGAAGCUUUGGAAGUACUUGUGAAGGAUUCUCAGGAUGAUGGAGUGAGUGAUGGAAUAGGUUGCCAACUGUAGUUACUCCACUCAGCACAGAAUGGCUGCGGGGAAAUAUAAUCAGACAUGCCCAAAGAAGUCUGCUUAGGGUGAAACAAAUACCUUUGAGGUUUAAAUCAGAAAGGAAGGAGAGACUGUUUCUACAGGUGUCAUACAAAAAUCAAUACUGAGCCAAGGAUUAUUGGAUCCCAUAGAACCACGGAGACUUGGUAGUGAAAUUCUUCCAAAGGCAGAUGGUGUUCCUAGGUUUGGAAAUAUAAAUCCCAUGGGAAGUCAGCUGAAGACCAUUUUAUGCAUCACUCAUCCUGUUAGAGCCCUGUGCUGUUCUGUCUCUCUAUAAGACUGGCUGAAACCACCACGGUUGUUUACAAUUUAUGCUCUAACUUUGGAUCACCUAGUUAAUACUCUAACUCCGAUUAUUACCAAAGACAAUGUUCUAUAAAAGAUAUUGUCUAUUAGAAGGAUGCUUCUGCAUUAUUAAUAAAAUCACAGGGAAAAUGCAACAUUUUGGAUGUCACAUCUGAUAAGUGGGUGACUGAUCGUACCCGCCAGCUGGCUAAUGUCAUAAUUAACAAAGUUGCUACUACAUCUGCAAAGUUUAAUCGAAAAAUUUGCCAGUGAUAUGAUGGCCUUGUCACAGAGAUCACAAGGGACACGGAGUUGACUUUUGCUCAAGGUGGAACGACAGAGCUGUGUAGGCAAGAUGAGAAAUUGCGAACUUGUUCGGCCAAAGGAACGACUAUGCUCUGGAGAGUCCUGUAAUUUGCAGAAAAUGGACCAAGAUAACAUUUGAGUUCCAUGCUACCAAAAUCCUCUUGAGAAGGACAGCUAGCUACCCAGAAUAUUUAACAUUGUGACAUUGAAAUGUUGGAUGAACGAUUAAAAUGAAGAAUCUAGUCAUAGGUUGUAAGAAAUCGCUAAAUUAUUAUGUUUAAUCCAAAGAAGAGAAAGGAAAAGCUGUUUUCAUUCCCCCCAGCCUCUGAGGAGGCUAAUAAUGAAGGGGCCGGGAAGGAGGCCAGUGCUACCAGGGUUAUCUCACAACCUCAGAUGCUGGAUAAGUCGACGGAGGCAGAAUCGCUUUGGGAUGACAUUCAGAAAGCCUGGAGUGAUUACUUGCAAGAGAAAAGCCUACCUAUUCUUUCCAAGGUGCAGGAAUAUUCCCCUGACCUGCUCAUCCAGUGGUCCAGUAAUGAAUUACUGGAGACCUGCCUUAGACAAAGAAUGCACUCGGAGCCCCAACACACCUAAAGCCAUGCUUUGAAGGAUCUGCCAAGCUCACUUUUAAUCAUGAGAAAGAAAUUACCCACACGGAGUCAGCAGAAAAUGAGAAAGUAGAGCUCGUGCUGUGAAUAAUUCCAGCAAGUGCCAAGGGGCUAGUUGAGGAAUGGCUUCAUGAGAACAUGCUCUAGGGGAACUAUUAAUAGCCCACCAGUCGGGUAGGCAGCAUUCAAUCCUUCUAUGCCUUCUUUCGCCACCUGUUGAGGUCUUUCUUCUGAAACAAAGAAGAAAUAGACAAAUCAGACUUGCCCUCUUGGAAAUGUGGUCCAGAUUUCUCUACUCCCAAGCUCCAAAAAAGGUAUACAUUGGAUGGGCUAGAUCAACUCCUCCUGAGAGCCAUAAAUCCGCCAAGAGUUGUUUUCCAUGUAAGGGUGUGGUACAAUGGGGAACACCUGAUGUUGGAGGAAAGCAGGAGGACUUUAGAGUGGAGUUGCAUUCUAAUCUCUCUGCCGCUUCAACUAUGUGACCUGGGGCAAAUGAUAUAAACUCUAUGAGCCUCUUUCCUUAUCUUUAAAAUGAAGAGAAGUAAUACCUACCUUGUAGGGCUGUUGUGAGGAUUAAAUGAAGUAAUGCAUACAGUGCCUAACAAAGUAUUUAACAUCAUAUUUUUUAAAAGCUCAUGAAAUAUUAGUUUUUCUUCCUUCCCCUCUUUCUAUUUUCUCUCCUGUUCCCUUUUCUCUCCCUCCUCUGCCCUCUCCUUCCUUCAGAUGUUAGUCUAAAACAGCACCUUGGAUCUAAGCAGCACCUUUGAGAAAGAAAAGACUGCUUCAAGAAUGUCUAGUUGCACCUCCUUUCCGUAUGUGGCCUAAAUGCCUAGGUUGGAUCAAUAGUUUAAUUUUUUUAUUGAACUGUUUAAUAUUGACUAUGGACUUACAUUCACUUUUACUGUUUUCUGUAUAUUUACUUUUGCUUGAAGUGUUUUAAUAUUGACUAUUUACCUCUGCUCAUUUUUAUUGAUUUUCUGUAUUUUUUCAAUGAAAAUUAUAAUAAAAAUUAUUUUUGUUA